UCGAGAAUUUUUCACAAUGGGCGAAAGCCUGAUGGAGCGACGCCGCGUGGGGGAUGAAUGGCUUCGGCCCGUAAACCCCUGUCAUUCGCGAGCAAACGUUAUUAUUUAAAAGAUGAUAGCCUGAUAGUAGCGAAAGAGGAAGGGACGGCUAACUCUGUGCCAGCAGCCGCGGUAAUACAGAGGUCCCAAGCGUUGUUCGGAUUUACUGGGCGUAAAGGGUGCGUAGGUGGUGGGGUAAGUCGGAUGUGAAAUCUCCGAGCUCAACUCGG
rnacentral:rRNA from 1 species